CCUACGGGUGGCUGCAGUGGGGAAUAUUGGGCAAUGGGCGCAAGCCUGACCCAGCAACGCUGCGUGAAGGAAGAAGGCCCUCGGGUUGUAAACUUCUUUUGUCAGGGACGAAACAAAUGACGGUACCUGACGAAUAAGCCACGGCUAACUACGUGCCUGCAGCCGCGGUAAUACGUAGGUGGCAAGCGUUAUCCGGAUUUACUGGGUGUAAAGGGCGUGUAGGCGGGAGAGAAAGGCAGAUGUGAAAUUCCAGGGCUCAACCCUGGAACUGCAUUUGAAACUGUUUUUCUUGAGUGAUGGAGAGGCAGGCGGAAGUCGGGGUGUAGCGGUGAAAUGCGUAGAUAUACGGAGGAACACCAGUGGCGAAGGCAGCCUGCUGGACAUUAACUGACGCUGAGGCGCGAAAGCGUGGGGAGCAAACAGGAUUAGAUACCCGUGUAGUC
rnacentral:rRNA from 1 species